rnacentral:lncRNA from 1 species
GUCAAAAGAGUCCUCAGAAGUGUCCUGAGCGGUCGCAGGGUAAUGACGUCGGCCGUAUCGGGGAUGCUGGAACCUGCGGUUGAGUGAGAAACCGGCGCCACCGCCUGCGUCUUGGUCUCGGGCUGGUGGCCAGCGGGGUCUGGGCGUGGUUUUACCCAGCUCCUUUGCGAAGCUGCUGUCCUUUCCUCAACGUUACCACCCGGCUGGGCAGCCUACCCUCGGUCAGUACGUCCUGGCAAGAGCGCUUCGGGCGUGGCGUUCGUGUCGCGGGGGCCUCGGCUCAGAAGCGAGGGAAGAGCAGCCCUCAGAGGAGCGGCGACCGCGCUUACCGGGAGCCCGGGUUGGGAGAGGGCUCCCCAGGAGGGGUGUGAGCUCCGAACGAGAAAGAACGCCACCGCCUCGUGGGGUCUCUUCCUAAUGUGCAGAUUCCAAAUCUCUACAAUGCUGCAAAAGAGGUUACAGUCCACAUCAAAUUAAGCAUGCCCUAAAGGGCAGCUGGGGUUCAGUUCAAGAGUUGAGUUUUAACACACACCUUUACCUGCCUUAAAAUUGGGCAAGGUAUCACAACGUUAAACCAUUUCUCACAAGGCUCGUUGGUGAUGUUUAAGAUUUUUUGUUUGUUUGUUUGUUUUUUGUUACGGAGUCUCGCUCUGUCGCCCAGACUGGAAUGCAGUGGCGCGAUCUUGGCUGACUACAACCUCCGCCUCCUGGGUUCAAGCGAUUGUCCUGCCUCAGCUUCCUGAGUAGCUGGGAUUACAGGCGCCUGCCACCACGCCCAGCUAAUUUUUCUAUUUUUAGUAGAAACGGGGUUUCGCCUUGUUGGCCAGGCUGGUCUUAAGUUUUGCAUCCUGGCUCCCUCCUCUUACCUAGUCCCAGCCUCUUGUCUACAGGACAAAGCAACUUUCUGCAGUUUUCUGUUUGCUCUUUAGAGAGACGGGGCCCUAAUUUGGCAAAGUGGUAGGGGAGACAGGGCUGGUGUUUAAGGUCGACCAAAGCAACAUCUAAAUCUCUGCUCUUCCCCCAAAUUGUCCAAAUUAGCAGCAACAGGUGUGCACCUUCCAAGCUUGCAACAGACCACAUUCAGAAGCUUGAUUUCUUGUUGUUCUGGGAAUAUCUGGAUCAGAGGUAACAUGGUUCACUAGGACUCCUCAGCUUCACCCAGUGUCCAUUUCACCUCCCCCGGCCUUCCAAUGUCUCUUCUUGCAGAUUUCUCCAAGCCACUCUCCCCGUCAUCUCCUCCACCCCCAGGACCCAACUCCUGCCCCUCCCACCCUAGCCCCUGUUCUCCCUGCCCACCUCCUACCCCACUGGAGUGGCCUUUCAUCAAACCUAAACCAAAGAAACCAACAGACCUUGCUGUCACCACUACUCCGGGACCUGGAAGUUAAAGCGAGGGAGAGACGGUGAAACACAGAAAGCAGAACGCCUUCUGUUCUUCCACAACACAGGGUUUGUGGACGUGGCCACUAUAAGAACUCGCACUGCGUGCUGAUUAUACUCCUCAGCACAAUUCAUUUCUUAAACUUUUUAGAAUAAUUUAAAAUUUACAAAAAGUUGCAAAAAUAAAAACCAGUAAACUUUU